rnacentral:tRNA from 1 species
GGAGGAGUGGCUGAAUGGCUGAAGGCAGCGGUUUGCUAAAUCGUCGUACGGUUUAAACUCCGUACCGGGGGUUCAAAUCCCCCCUCCUCCGCCA